AGUGAACGCUGGCGGUAGGCCUAACACAUGCAAGUCGAACGGCAGCACAGUAAGAGCUUGCUCUUACGGGUGGCGAGUGGCGGACGGGUGAGGAAUACAUCGGAAUCUACUUUUUCGUGGGGGAUAACGUAGGGAAACUUACGCUAAUACCGCAUACGACCUACGGGUGAAAGCAGGGGAUCUUCGGACCUUGCGCGAUUGAAUGAGCCGAUGUCGGAUUAGCUAGUUGGCGGGGUAAAGGCCCACCAAGGCGACGAUCCGUAGCUGGUCUGAGAGGAUGGUCGCCCACACUGGAACUGAGACACGGACCAGACUCCUACGGGAGGCAGCAGUGGGGAAUAGUGGACAAUGGGCGCAAGCCUGAUCCAGCCAGACCGCGUGGGUGAAGAAGGCCUUCGGGUUGUAAAGCCCUUUUGUUGGGAAAGAAAAGCAGCAGGUUAAUACCCCGCUGUUCUGACGGUACCCAAAGAAUAAGCACCGGCUAACUUCGUG
rnacentral:rRNA from 1 species